UUGGCAUGUGGAAAAGGGUGGUGCCCCACUUCUAACCCCAAUACCCCUUACCCCCUAUAAAAAGGCUCCAAUACUUAGAUGCCUUUGUGAUGAGAAAUAGAGAAAAAAUUUGAGAGAAAAGUUCUGCUUAAAAUUUGAGCCACCUUCUUUUCUUCCUCCCCAUUUUUCUUAGUUUUCAAGAGAAUCUAUGAGACCUGAGAGUUAACCAAAUCAGCCAUCAAAGAGGAGAUAUUUGCAAAGAAGCUAGCACCCUGGGAAG
rnacentral:lncRNA from 1 species